GAUGAACGCUAGCUACAGGCUUAACACAUGCAAGUCGAGGGGCAUCGGGAAGAAAGCUUGCUUUCUUUGCCGGCGACCGGCGCACGGGUGAGUAACACGUAUCCAACCUGCCCUUUACUCGGGGAUAGCCUUUCGAAAGAAAGAUUAAUACCCGAUAGCAUAAUGAUUCCGCAUGGUUUCAUUAUUAAAGGAUUCCGGUAAAGGAUGGGGAUGCGUUCCAUUAGGUUGUUGGUGGGGUAACGGCCCACCAAGCCUUCGAUGGAUAGGGGUUCUGAGAGGAAGGUCCCCCACAUUGGAACUGAGACACGGUCCAAACUCCUACGGGAGGCAGCAGUGAGGAAUAUUGGUCAAUGGGCGCUAGCCUGAACCAGCCAAGUAGCGUGAAGGAUGAAGGCUCUAUGGGUCGUAAACUUCUUUUAUAUAAGAAUAAAGUGCAGUAUGUAUACUGUUUUGUAUGUAUUAUAUGAAUAAGGAUCGGCUAACUCCGUGCCAGCAGCCGCGGUAAUACGGAGGAUCCGAGCGUUAUCCGGAUUUAUUGGGUUUAAAGGGAGCGUAGGUGGACUGGUAAGUCAGUUGUGAAAGUUUGCGGCUCAACCGUAAAAUUGCAGUUGAUACUGUCAGUCUUGAGUACAGUAGAGGUGGGCGGAAUUCGUGGUGUAGCGGUGAAAUGCUUAGAUAUCACAAAGAACUCCGAUUGCGAAGGCAGCUCACUGGACUGCAACUGACACUGAUGCUCGAAAGUGUGGGUAUCAAACCAGG
rnacentral:rRNA from 1 species